UAAAAAUCACUCAUUUCUUUCUUUGAUUUAUCUCUGCUCUGCAAUACCAAAAGCUCCUGUCCUCAGUUCCCUCUCUCUUUCUCUCUCUGGGGUUAGGGUUUUGUUGACGUAGUAGAUGGGGCAGCAAUCGUUGAUCUACAGCUUCGUGGCGAGAGGGACGGUGAUUUUGGCAGAGUUUACGGAGUUCACCGGCAACUUUACAAGCAUAGCAGCUCAGUGCCUCCAGAAACUUCCGGCCACCAACAACAAGUUCACCUACAACUGCGAUGGCCACACCUUCAACUACCUUGUCGAUAACGGCUACAGUAUCCCCUCUAACCUUCCUCUCCUUUUCUUUUUCCCUGUUUGAUUCGCCUCUUUAGUUCCUUCUAUGAUCUGAUCUGUUUCUUCUCUAUCAUUCACUGGGUUUGUGAUCUCUUUUAUAUGAUUUGAUCUGCGUGCUUUUUUGCGUGUUCUCGCGGGUUAGUGUGUUGUUGGGAUAUGUUUUAGGCUGUGAUUGUUAUAGCAUAUUUGAUAAGCUGAUAACAGUGUGCUGUCCGUUGAUCUUAUUAUUAUCCCUCUGAUUCUAAUGAAGGGCGUACAAAUGAACACUCGCAUUUGAUUAAUGCUUUAGUUGCUGAAUUAGAUCGAUAUAGGGUACUAGAAUCAUUGUGUUGAUGCGAUGAAAUUCAGUGCUUCGCGUCUGUCUUUGUGAAGAUAAUGGGCUUCGAGCUCAAAUUACUGGUUUGCUGUUUGUGUUGGAAGAAAAGUAUAACUCAUUUUUUUUAUGACAUCCAUGUUAUACGAUUUUGAAUUGUUUUCACAUGUAGAAAACUUAGAGAGAAUCUGUAGCCACUUACUUUCUUUAGUUGAGACUGAUUGCUGGCCUUAGUUAUUUGUUUGGUUGGUUGCUGGGAACUUAGAAGAACAAAAGGAAAUAUUCAAACCAUGAGAAUUUAAUUAGGGAAAAGUAUUGUAGAUGUGGAACUAGAUUUGGAUGGUUAGUACUUUCCAGCAUUUUUUGGUUUUGCUUAAUUAGUUUUGAAUGAAAGCAAUGAUCGCAAUGUUAUCUGCUGACUAUUAUUCAAGUUUUCCCUUUAUAGGCUUUAAUCAAUGCACUUAAAUAAUUGUAAUUCAGGUUUCUGAAGCGUUUUCUAAAUGAGUGCAUUGAAAAUGGGAAAAGUUUUCUUGAUAGGCCAAAUCUUAAUCUGAAUUUCAUGACCAAUUAAGGAGAAUGAGGAUUUGCAUGAGAUAGCCAAAGUAGGCAUUGUCGCUAAAAUAUGGUAUGUGGG
rnacentral:misc_RNA from 1 species